rnacentral:rRNA from 1 species
AGAGUUUGAUCCUGGCUCAGAACGAACGCUGGCGGCAGGCUUAACACAUGCAAGUCGAGCGCACCAUUUAUGGUGAGCGGCAGACGGGUGAGUAAUGUAUGGGGAUCUACCUAUUACUACGGAAUAACACAGAGAAAUUUGUGCUAAUACCGUAUAGUUCCGAGAGGAUAAAGAUUUAUCGGUAAUAGAUGAGCCCAUAUUAGAUUAGCUAGUUGGUAAGGUAAAGGCUUACCAAGGCGACGAUCUAUAGCUGGUCUGAGAGGAUGAUCAGCCACACUGGGACUGAGACACGGCCCAGACUCCUACGGGAGGCAGCAGUGGGGAAUAUUGGACAAUGGGCGCAAGCCUGAUCCAGCCAUGCCGCGUGAGUGAUGAAGGCCUUAGGGUUGUAAAGCUCUUUCGCCGGUGAAGAUAAUGACGGUAACCGGAAAAGAAGCCCCGGCUAACUUCGUG